rnacentral:tRNA from 2 species
GCCCGGGUGGUGGAAUUGGUAGACACAAGGGACUUAAAAUCCCUCGGGGGGUAACCCCUGUACGAGUUCGAGUCUCGUCCCGGGCACCA